GGAACAUGGCCAUACAGCCGAAAGACUCACAGCAACCCAAAGACAAAGUUCUACUUGUCUUAGACCAAACCUAUCAGUUGCAACUUCUCUGCCUUCUUAAUGUGAAGUAAGAAAUAAUAUAAUAAUCAUAAUCAUCUGGCUGCCGUUGCCUACUACUACUAAUAAUAAUAAAAAUAACAAAAGUGUUGAGCUUCUGUAAAACCUUUGCCAAGCCAACAGAACCCAUGGUCCCUGAUUCAGGACAUAAAAGGUUAUUGUUGUUAAUAUAGUACUCUUCCAAAGGAUUGUUCCAGCAAAGAAACAAACUUCUACCUGCCUUAGAUCAAACCUAUCAUUUGCAAUUCUCUGCCUUCUAAAUUUCAAUUAAUCAUCAUCAUCGUCGUCAUAAUUUGGCUGUUGUGGAAGUGCAUCUUUGACGGGAAUUCAGGUAGCAGAAAUGGAUUGAGGCCCAGCUGAAAUGCACAAGCCUAGUCACCAUUUCCCCAUUGCUGCCCAGUUGGCUGUAUUAUACUCCUUUCCUCACUUUACUGAUAGGCUAAUUAGUAUAUUAGUUUUGCAAUGCAAGAGCCACCACAACACAUUUUUAUUUAAAGCAGAGAAAUUACACAAAAAGCUCUAAUCAAUACAGAAGUAGAUGUUUGCAAUCAGUGGAAGCUGGUGACUCUAUGUUUAGUUGGAACAAUCAAUCUACUCUCAGAUCUACUCAGAUCUUUAAGGGAAUUAUGCAAUUUAUUGAACCUAUUUUUUAUCCAGAACAUUACAGAGAGCCUUUAAAGGUCAGAUUAAAACCCAAUGUGAAUUUGGUGUCUUUGGGGAACCUGAGCCUCUGUUGGCUUCACCUCUGACCCACACCUAUUGCUGCAGUUUGCAAGCGUAGCAAUUCUAGCAUAGGGAGAAAGUGCCCACAGGGAACAAGGCUUUUCAUGUUGCCUAAGGGGUGAGGAAUUGACCACAAAGUUAACGUAAGGCACAGAAGUGACAUAUAGCAGUGCUCCGAUCAUGUCAUAUUAUGGAGCUGGCUUCCAACACACUCCCACUUAGUAACUUAUUUUCAAAUUUUCCUAUUAAUUGCUGUGUUUAUUCUGAGCUGUGUCCUCUUUUCUUUUCUGUAACUGUCAGCAACUUCCAGUCCUUGGAGGUGGAUAAAAGAAUGUCUAUGCAAAACAUUCAAAUCAUGUACAGUAUACUUGUGGGACUUUGUCUCUCUUCUUUCCCCCACUAAGUCAAUCCGUAUUUUCAUCUUUGUGGUUCAUUAUCAGCUUUGUAAAUAAGUGAGAAGUAAUAGUGGAAGCAGUAACUCUUAAUCUGCCUAAACAUAUUCUUCCUCUUAAUUGCUAAGCUCACAUCUUGAAGUCUGGUUGUGUACAUGGAUUUCCUGUUAACAAAUGAAAUAAGUGGUGGUGAUUGUGUUUUGUAUUUUCUUAAAGGGGAAAUGCAGUAUAUCCCAAAUGAUAUGUUGGCACCCUAAAAGGCUAGCAACCAGAAAUACAGAGACAAUAAAAUACAUUGCAUUGAGGAUCUUAAUACCUUGCUUUUUAUUAGCAGUGUAAGGUAACAUAGUUUGGAUAUAAGACGAGAAUGCCUGGCAGGUGGGAAUGCAAAGGUCUAGAAUUUUGUGUUAAGAAUUCUCAGUAUUGCAACUCCCAAAGUAUAAUUUUGAUCUGUAGUAUGAUGGACUCCAUGCUUUAUUUAUGACAAUUCCCAGUUUUUACAAUUUGCAGUGGAUAUAGACAACAAUUGAACUUAUAUUUGGUUCCAUUGUAGGUUCCAUAGUUUGGGCACCCUUGGGCUUUAUUCCUCUGCAUACUCGCAUUGGAAUCAAACUAUUAGCAGAGUAUGAAUGUUAAGAAAUAGACCUUUCUGAUCUAUAUCAGAAAAAAAAACCCUCAGAAAAACAACACAGACUACAUUCCACCUGAUGAAGAACCUCUUGAAUUGAAACUGGUUGUGAUUUUGCAUUUCCUAGUAAAGAACAAUUAUUUGUAUGAAAAGAGGAGUCAAUUUAUCUUUUGAGAGAAAAAUAUUCUUUUUACUGUGAAUGUAAUAGUCCGUUGUUUUACUGUAUAGCAAUGGCUUUAUUUGUUUUUACAUUCAUAUUAAUGCAUUGAAUUAAAUAUAGGUUUAAUAGCAUUACAAAUAUUUCUAUAUUACUAUAACAGUGGAUACUUGUCUUUGUAGUUCCAGGGAACCCAUUUUCCUUUAUAAUAACUUUAUUCCCGUCCACAGGGACUGUGAAAACUACACAUCUUUUCUAUGAAAGUUUCACAGUGUAUGGCUGGUGAGUGAGUAAAUGAGAACUGGAAACUUGAAUUGUUGGUUUGGGGUCGAUUGAGAUGAGAUUGUGAGUUACAAUAUUGUAUUUGGAUUACUCCAUUCUUCCCCUGUGCACGUAUGUCUUAAAUAUAUUACUUUGUAUGCCUUU